GGAAGGAGAAGUCGUAACAAGGUCUCCGUAGGUGAACCUGCGGAGGGAUCAUUACAAGUGACCCCGGUUUACCACCGGGAUGUUCAUAACCCUUUGUUGUCCGACUCUGUUGCCUCCGGGGCGACCCUGCCUUCGGGCGGGGGCUCCGGGUGGACACUUCAAACUCUUGCGUAACUUUGCAGUCUGAGUAAAUUUAAUUAAUAAAUUAAAACUUUCAACAACGGAUCUCUUGGUUCUGGCAUCGAUGAAGAACGCAGCGAAAUGCGAUAAGUAAUGUGAAUUGCAGAAUUCAGUGAAUCAUCGAAUCUUUGAACGCACAUUGCGCCCCCUGGUAUUCCCGAGCGUCAUUUCACCACUCAAGCCUGGCUUGGUAUUGGGCGUCGCGGCCGGCCGCGCGCCUCAAAUUUCCGGCUGAGCUGUCCGUCUCCCAGCGUUGUGAAAUCGAACCGCUACGGAGCACGCACAGCCGCGGCCGUUAAAUAAACUUUCAUACAAGGUUGACCUCGGAUCAGGUAGGGAUACCCGCUGAACUUAAGCAUAUCAAUAAGCGGAGGA
rnacentral:rRNA from 1 species